CGGAGAGUGCAAACGUUGUUCGGAUUCACUGGGCGUAAAGGGCACGUAGGCGGCUCGGCAAAUCGGUCGUGGAAUCUCGACGCUUACCGUCGAAACGGCGGCCGAAAAUACCGGGCUCGAGGGCGUGAGGGGUCACUGGAACUCCUGGUGAAGCGGUGAAAUGCGUAGAUAUCAGGAGGAACGCCGGAGGCGAAAGCGAGUGACUGGCGCGUUCCUGACGCUGAGGUGCGAAAGCUAGGGGAGCAAACAGGAUUAGAUACCCUGGUAGUCCUAGCCGUAAACGAUGGACACUGAGUGAAGGAGGGCUUGCCCUUCUUUGCUGCAGCUAACGCGUUAAGUGUCCCGCCUGGGGGAGUACGGCCGCAAAGGUUA
rnacentral:rRNA from 1 species